GGACCCGCACAAGUAGUGGAGCAUGUGGUUUAAUUCGAAGAUACGCGCAGAACCUUACCAACACUUGACAUGUUCGUCGCGACUUUAAGAGAUUAAAGUUUUCGGUUCGGCCGGACGAAACACAGGUGCUGCAUGGCUGUCGUCAGCUCGUGUCGUGAGAUGUUGGGUUAAGUCCCGCAACGAGCGCAACCCUCACUUUUAGUUGCCAUCAUUUAGUUGGGCACUCUGAAAGAACUGCCAGUGAUAAGCUGGAGGAAGGUGGGGAUGACGUCAAGUCCUCAUGGCCCUUACGUGUUGGGCUACACACGUGCUACAAUGGUAUUUACAACAGGAAGCAAAACGGCGACGUUAAGCAAAUCCUUAAAAAAUACCUCAGUUCGGAUUGCACUCUGCAACUCGAGUGCAUGAAGCUGGAAUUACUAG
rnacentral:rRNA from 1 species